AUUGAACGCUGGCGGCAGGCCUAACACAUGCAAGUCGAACGGUAACAGAAAGCAGCUUGCUGCUUUGCUGACGAGUGGCGGACGGGUGAGUAAUGUCUGGGAUACUGCCUGAUGGAGGGGGAUAACUACUGGAAACGGUAGCUAAUACCGCAUAACGUCGCAAGACCAAAGAGGGGGACCUUCGGGCCUCUUGCCAUCGGAUGUGCCCAGAUGGGAUUAGCUAGUAGGUGGGGUAAUGGCUCACCUAGGCGACGAUCCCUAGCUGGUCUGAGAGGAUGACCAGCCACACUGGAACUGAGACACGGUCCAGACUCCUACGGGAGGCAGCAGUGGGGAAUAUUGCACAAUGGGCGCAAGCCUGAUGCAGCCAUGCCGCGUGUAUGAAGAAGGCCUUCGGGUUGUAAAGUACUUUCAGCGAGGAGGAAGGUGUUGUGGUUAAUAACCACAGCAAUUGACGUUACUCGCAGAAGAAGCACCGGCUAACUCCGUGCCAGCAGCCGCAGUAA
rnacentral:rRNA from 1 species